AUUGAACGCUGGCGGCAGGCCUAACACAUGCAAGUCGAGCGGAUGAGGAAAGCUUGCUUUUCGAUUCAGCGGCGGACGGGUGAGUAAUGCCUAGGAAUCUGCCUGUUAGUGGGGGAUAACUCGGGGAAACUCGGGCUAAUACCGCAUACGUCCUACGGGAGAAAGUGGGGGAUCUUCGGACCUCACGCUAACAGAUGAGCCUAGGUCGGAUUAGCUAGUAGGUGGGGUAAUGGCUCACCUAGGCGACGAUCCGUAACUGGUCUGAGAGGAUGAUCGGUCACACUGGAACUGAGACACGGUCCAGACUCCUACGGGAGUCAGCAGUGGUGAAGAUUGGACAAUGGGCGAAAGCCUGAUCCAGCCAUGCCGCGUGUGUGAAGAAGGUCUUCGGAUUGUAAAGCACUUUAAGUUGGGAGGAAGAGUUGUAAGCUAAUAUCUUGCAGCUUUGACGUUACCAACAGAAUAAGCACCGGCUAACUCUGUGCCAGCAGCCGCAGUAACAC
rnacentral:rRNA from 1 species